GUGUGGCUGUAUGUGGGUCUGACUCUGGUCGUUGUGUUCAUCCUUUCAUCACUGGCUGUGCUGAUAAUCUGCAUUAAGAGGAACCCCACACUCUGUGGUUUGAGGACCAGAGGAAACUCAGACGCCACAAACAUGGAGAUUACCCCCUAUGAGAACUGUCCUCCAGUCUCCACACAUGAAGACUCCACCUACCAGAGCCUCAGUCCAGCCAGCAUGGAUCAGGACCAAACCUACUCUACACUCACACACACAAACAACACAUAUGAGACUUUGUGAAUUCAGACCUGGAAUUUGUUACUGUGACCCAAGGUUUCAGUUUGUUUUCUGGCCCUGAGAACUCAGUACAGUGCAAAUUAAGAUGCAUGUUUUCUGUAUUUGCAGUUCAUUUCUUUAUUCUCCAUGUUGCCAAGUUGGAGAAACUUGACAACAACGCAGCAAAACUAAAAUUCAUAUCCCUAACUAACUCAUCAUCAUAUUGACUGAAACAUCGCUGUGCCCAAACUCUUUCAUUGAAGCACACAAGCUGUUCUAUAUUAACUAGAUCUAGCAGUUACAGCUACGCUACCACUUGUUUACAUAAAGCUUCUUCUUAAAUGUAUGUUUAUACAAACCUCUGUGUUGAACAUUUGGUCACCUUUCAACAGGCUGAAAACUGAUGGUGUUCAGAUCUGAGGAUCAUGUCCAGAGAACUGAAGAGAAUUUGUACACAAUUUCAAAAACAUGUAAAGGACGUGUGUCUCAGAAAACUGAAAUUGAAUUCCAAACUAAAAGAUUUAAAUAGAAAUGAUUCAGAUUUUAGUGACAUAAAGUUAUGUCCUUCGAGUUACCUGCAGUUAAAAACCAGUCAAACAGAAAUCCUUGUCAUUGGCUCCCAGCACAUUACAAGACAAACUCUGCCACCUGCUGGUUCUCUGCUGGAACAUGUCAAGUCUAUUUGAUAGAAAUUUAAGCUUUUGAGCAGCUCACCACAAAGCUGGUCCAGUCAUGGUGUUAUCAUCUUUUUUCAUGUUUCAAAAAUACAGUCUUUCUUCUUGCUUCACACCUUCAUUACUGCAGCAGCCUUUUUAUUGGUCUUAGCCAAAAACUUUGUUGAUGGACUUCAGACUGAACUGAGAUCAGCAGCCAGGCUGAA